GCCACGGUGGCUGAGCGGUUAGCACGCUCGCCUCCCACCAAGGCAAACCGGGUUCAAUCCCCGGCCGGGUCA